UUUUAUGGAGAGUUUGAUCCUGGCUCAGGAUGAACGCUGGCGGCGUGCCUAAUACAUGCAAGUCGAGCGAACGGACGAGAAGCUUGCUUCUCUGAUGUUAGCGGCGGACGGGUGAGUAACACGUGGAUAACCUACCUAUAAGACUGGGAUAACUUCGGGAAACCGGAGCUAAUACCGGAUAAUAUUUUGAACCGCAUGGUUCAAAAGUGAAAGACGGUCUUGCUGUCACUUAUAGAUGGAUCCGCGCUGCAUUAGCUAGUUGGUAAGGUAACGGCUUACCAAGGCAACGAUGCAUAGCCGACCUGAGAGGGUGAUCGGCCACACUGGAACUGAGACACGGUCCAGACUCCUACGGGAGGCAGCAGUAGGGAAUCUUCCGCAAUGGGCGAAAGCCUGACGGAGCAACGCCGCGUGAGUGAUGAAGGUCUUCGGAUCGUAAAACUCUGUUAUUAGGGAAGAACAUAUGUGUAAGUAACUGUGCACAUCUUGACGGUACCUAAUCAGAAAGCCACGGCUAACUACGUGCCAGCAGCCGCGGUAAUACGUAGGUGGCAAGCGUUAUCCGGAAUUAUUGGGCGUAAAGCGCGCGUAGGCGGUUUUUUAAGUCUGAUGUGAAAGCCCACGGCUCAACCGUGGAGGGUCAUUGGAAACUGGAAAACUUGAGUGCAGAAGAGGAAAGUGGAAUUCCAUGUGUAGCGGUGAAAUGCGCAGAGAUAUGGAGGAACACCAGUGGCGAAGGCGACUUUCUGGUCUGUAACUGACGCUGAUGUGCGAAAGCGUGGGGAUCAAACAGGAUUAGAUACCCUGGUAGUCCACGCCGUAAACGAUGAGUGCUAAGUGUUAGGGGGUUUCCGCCCCUUAGUGCUGUAGCUAACGCAUUAAGCACUCCGCCUGGGGAGUACGACCGCAAGGUUGAAACUCAAAGGAAUUGACGGGGACCCGCACAAGCGGUGGAGCAUGUGGUUUAAUUCGAAGCAACGCGAAGAACCUUACCAAAUCUUGACAUCCUUUGACAACUCUAGAGAUAGAGCCUUCCCCUUCGGGGGACAAAGUGACAGGUGGUGCAUGGUUGUCGUCAGCUCGUGUCGUGAGAUGUUGGGUUAAGUCCCGCAACGAGCGCAACCCUUAAGCUUAGUUGCCAUCAUUAAGUUGGGCACUCUAAGUUGACUGCCGGUGACAAACCGGAGGAAGGUGGGGAUGACGUCAAAUCAUCAUGCCCCUUAUGAUUUGGGCUACACACGUGCUACAAUGGACAAUACAAAGGGCAGCGAAACCGCGAGGUCAAGCAAAUCCCAUAAAGUUGUUCUCAGUUCGGAUUGUAGUCUGCAACUCGACUACAUGAAGCUGGAAUCGCUAGUAAUCGUAGAUCAGCAUGCUACGGUGAAUACGUUCCCGGGUCUUGUACACACCGCCCGUCACACCACGAGAGUUUGUAACACCCGAAGCCGGUGGAGUAACCUUUUAGGAGCUAGCCGUCGAAGGUGGGACAAAUGAUUGGGGUGAAGUCGUAACAAGGUAGCCGUAUCGGAAGGUGCGGCUGGAUCACCUCCUUUCUAA
rnacentral:rRNA from 1 species